GGGGAAUAUUGCACAAUGGGCGGAAGCCUGAUGCAGCGACGCCGCGUGGGGGAUGACGGCCUUCGGGUUGUAAACCUCUUUCUGUGCAGAAUACGGCUCUUUGUGGGUUGAGGGUAUGUGCAGAAGAAGCGCCGGCUAACUACGUGCCAGCAGCCGCGGUCAUACGUCGGGCGCGAGCGUUGUCCGGAUCUAUUGUGCGUAAAGAGCUCGUAGGCGGUUUGUCGCGUCUGCUGUGAAAUCCUCU
rnacentral:rRNA from 1 species